CUCUGUUGUUGGAGAANAACACGAGUGAGAGUACUGUUCAUUCGAUGACGGUAUCUAACCAGCAAGUCACGGCUAACUACGUGCCAGCAGCCGCGGUAAUACGUAGGUGGCAAGCGUUGUCCGGAUUUAUUGGGCGUAAAGGGAACGCAGGCGGUCUUUUAAGUCUGAUGUGAAAGCCUUCGGCUUAACCGGAGUAGUGCAUUGGAAACUGGAAGACUUGAGUGCAGAAGAGGAGAGUGGAACUCCAUGUGUAGCGGUG
rnacentral:rRNA from 1 species